rnacentral:rRNA from 1 species
GACGAACGCUGGCGGCGUGCCUAAUACAUGCAAGUCGAACGAGAGCGCCCGGUGCUUGCACUGGUCAAUCUAGUGGCGAACGGGUGAGUAACACGUGGGUAACCUGCCCAUCAGAGGGGGAUAACAUCCGGAAACGGAUGCUAAAACCGCAUAGGUCUUCGAGCCGCAUGGCUUGAAGAGGAAAAGAGGCGCAAGCUUCUGCUGAUGGAUGGACCCGCGGUGCAUUAGCUAGUUGGUGAGGUAACGGCUCACCAAGGCCGUGAUGCAUAGCCGACCUGAGAGGGUGAUCGGCCACAUUGGGACUGAGACACGGCCCAAACUCCUACGGGAGGCAGCAGUAGGGAAUCUUCCGCAAUGGACGCAAGUCUGACGGAGCAACGCCGCGUGAGUGAAGAAGGUUUUCGGAUCGUAAAACUCUGUUGUUAGAGAAGAACAAGUGCUAGAGUAACUGUUAGCGCCUUGACGGUAGCUAACCAGAAAGCCACGGCUAACUACGUG